UACGAGAGGCCCAAACGUUAUUCGGAAUUACUGGGCUUAAAGAGUUCGUAGGCGGCAUGAAAAGUAGGGUGUGAAAGCCCUCGGCUCAACCGAGGAAUUGCGCUCUAAACUGUCGUGCUAGAGGAAGCUAGAGGUGAGCGGAACUGAUGGUGGAGCGGUGAAAUGCGUUGAUAUCAUCAGGAACACCGGAGGCGAAGGCGGCUCACUGGGGCUUUUCUGACGCUGAGGAACGAAAGCCAGGGGAGCAAACGGG
rnacentral:rRNA from 1 species